rnacentral:rRNA from 1 species
UACAGAGGUCCCAAGCGUUGUUCGGAUUCAUUGGGCGUAAAGGGCGCGUAGGCGAUCAGCACAAGUCAGUUGUGAAAUCUCCGGGCUUAACCCGGAAAGGUCAACUGAUACUGUGCGACUAGAGUGCGGAAGGGGCAACUGGAAUUCUCGGUGUAGCGGUGAAAUGCGUAGAUAUCGAGAGGAACACCUGCGGCGAAGGCGGGUUGCUGGGCCGACACUGACGCUGAUGCGCGAAAGCCAGGGGAGCGAACGGG